rnacentral:rRNA from 1 species
GACGAACGCUGGCGGCAGGCCUAACACAUGCAAGUCGAACGGUAACAGGAAGAAGCUUGCUUCUUUGCUGACGAGUGGCGGACGGGUGAGUAAUGUCUGGGAAACUGCCUGAUGGAGGGGGAUAACUACUGGAAACGGUAGCUAAUACCGCAUAACGUCGCAAGACCAAAGAGGGGGACAUUCGGGCCUCUUGCCAUCGGAUGUGCCCAGAUGGGAUUAGCUAGUAGGUGGGGUAACGGCUCACCUAGGCGACGAUCCCUAGCUGAUCUGAGAGGAUGACCAGCCACACUGGAACUGAGACACGGUCCAGACUCCUACGGGAGGCAGCAGUGGGGAAUAUUGCACAAUGGGCGCAAGCCUGAUGCAGCCAUGCCGCGUGUAUGAAGAAGGCCUUCGGGUUGUAAAGUACUUUCAGCGGGGAGGAAGGGAGUAAAGUUAAUACCUUUGCUCAUUGACGUUACCCGCAGAAGAAGCACCGGCUAACUCCGUG